GAUUAGCCAUGCAUGUCUAAGUACAUGCCGUAUUAAGGCGAAACCGCGAAUGGCUCAUUAAAUCAGUCAUGGUUCCUUGGAUCGUACCUUACUACUUGGAUAACUGUGGCAAUUCUAGAGCUAAUACAUGCAGCAGAGCUCCGACCUUCGGGGACGAGCGCUUUUAUUAGACCAAAACCAAUCGGACCUCGUGUCCGUCCUUUGUGGUGACUCUGUAUAACUUUGGGCUGAUCGCACGGGCCUGUCCCGGCGACGUAUCUUUCAAGUGUCUGCCUUAUCAACUUUCGAUGGUAGGUUACGCGCCUACCAUGGUCGUAACGGGUAACGGGGAAUCAGGGUUCGAUUCCGGAGAGGGAGCCUGAGAAACGGCUACCACAUCCAAGGAAGGCAGCAGGCGCGCAAAUUACCCACUCCCAGAACGGGGAGGUAGUGACGAAAAAUAACAAUACGGGACUCUUUUGAGACCCCGUAAUUGGAAUGAGUACACUCUAAAUCCUUUAACGAGGAUCCAUUGGAGGGUAAGUCUGGUGCCAGCAACCGCGGUAAUUCCAGCUCCAAUAGCGUAUAUUAAAGUUGUUGCGGUUAAAAAGCUCGUAGUUGGAUCUCAGUUCCAGACGGGUGGUCCGCCUACCGGUGGUUACUGCCUGUUCUGAACAGUCAGCCGGUUUCUCUUGAUGAUCUUCACCGGUUGUCUUGGGUGACCGGCAAGUUUACUUUGAAAAAAUUAGAGUGCUCAAAGCAGGCGUGACGCCUGAAUAAUGGUGCAUGGAAUAAUGGAAUAGGACCUCGGUUCUAUUUUGUUGGUUUUCGGAACACGAGGUAAUGAUUAAGAGGGACAGACGGGGGCAUUCGUAUUGCGACGCUAGAGGUGAAAUUCUUGGACCGUCGCAAGACGAACUACUGCGAAAGCAUUUGCCAAGAAUGUUUCCAUUAAUCAAGAACGAAAGUUAGAGGUUCGAAGGCGAUCAGAUACCGCCCUAGUUCUAACCAUAAACGAUGCCAGC
rnacentral:rRNA from 1 species